AUUGAACGCUGGCGGCAGGCUUAACACAUGCAAGUCGAGCGGGGGAAGGUAGCUUGCUACCGGACCUAGCGGCGGACGGGUGAGUAAUGCUUAGGAAUCUGCCUAUUAGUGGGGGACAACAUCUCGAAAGGGAUGCUAAUACCGCAUACGUCCUACGGGAGAAAGCAGGGGAUCUUCGGACCUUGCGCUAAUAGAUGAGCCUAAGUCGGAUUAGCUAGUUGGUGGGGUAAAGGCCUACCAAGGCGACGAUCUGUAGCGGGUCUGGGAGGAGGAGCCGCCACACUGGGACUGAGACACGGCCCAGACUCCUACGGGAGGCAGCAGUGGGGAAUAUUGGACAAUGGGGGGAACCCUGAUCCAGCCAUGCCGCGUGUGUGAAGAAGGCCUUAUGGUUGUAAAGCACUUUAAGCGAGGAGGAGGCUACUCUAGUUAAUACCUAGGGAUAGUGGACGUUACUCGCAGAAUAAGCACCGGCUAACUCUGUGCCAGCCGCCGCGCUAA
rnacentral:rRNA from 1 species